UGACAGUACUCCUACGGGAGCAGCAGUGGGAAUAUUGCACAAUGGGGGAAACCCUGAUGCAGCCAUGCCGCGUGUGUGAAGAAGGCCUUCGGGUUGUAAAGCACUUUCAGUCGUGAGGAAGGUAGUGUAGUUAAUAGCUGCAUUAUUUGACGUUAGCGACAGAAGAAGCACCGGCUAACUCCGUGCCAGCAGCCGCGGUAAUACGGAGGGUGCGAGCGUUAAUCGGAAUUACUGGGCGUAAAGCGCAUGCAGGUGGUUUGUUAAGUCAGAUGUGAAAGCCCCGGGGCUCAACCUCGGAAUAGCAUUUGAAACUGGCAGACUAGAGUACUGUAGAGGGGGUAGAAUUUCAGGUGUAGCGGUGAAAUGCGUAGAGAUCUGAAGGAAUACCGGUGGCGAAGGCGGCCCCCUGGACAGAUACUGACACUCAGAUGCGAAAGCGUGGGGAGCAAACAGGAUUAGAUACCCUGGUAG
rnacentral:rRNA from 1 species